AAAGGUCUAGGAUGUUCGCGAACCUAUUAUUUUUGAACCUACAUUUCUUGAACGGGUUUCCUACAUCUUCCGUCAAAUGCCAGGCCACAAGAUAAUUCCCUUUGGGCGGUGGAAGGCAAAUGUCGGUGUGCGGUCACCCACCUAGCUCAGCUAGGUGUCGAAGAGAUAGGAACGGCAUCCCGGAUUUAAC
rfam:Eubacterium sp. CAG:274 genomic scaffold, scf108